rnacentral:Y_RNA from 1 species
GGCUGGGUCCGAGUGCAGUGGUUGUUUAUAACUAACUGAUGAGAGCCAGCUACAGAGUGCUUUGUUCCUUCUCUACUGCCACUGCCUCACGUGACUAGCCUUAA